AUGAUCCUACACAGAAAGAUGGGGAUGGGAGGGUCAGAGCAAGGAAAGAACAGCACUUCCAGGUCACUUCGCCUCAUUCUGGACUCCCCUUUUCCAGGGUGUGCUGUGACUCCACCCCAUGUCUGCAGGAGCCCCGAGGCAUUCGCCCCAGUGAGCUGACAGAUGACACCAUGACUAAGACCUUCAUCUGGGACUUUAUGGCCUGCUAGUAUGUUCAAACCUCUUGAGUUCUUGGCCUCCUGGAUAUGCUAUAAAAAUGGCAUCUACUCUACUUAUCUCUCUGGAUUUGCAAAGUCACACUCUUAGUAAAUGGGAGAACAGAUGUCUGCCUAAAAUAAUGAAAAUAUUUUAUCCACUAUGACACAUCGUGCAUCUAACCCCUC
rnacentral:lncRNA from 10 species